rnacentral:pre_miRNA from 1 species
AGUGGAAUAGUUGGGUCAAAUGGUGGUUCCUUUCCAGAUUUUCUAAGGAAUCUCCAUAUUGCUUUCCAGAUUGGUUGUACAAAUUUACAGUCCUACCAGCAAU